CCUGCCCCUACUAGUGUUGCAGGUGUGGCUGCUGUGUCACAUGUGCAUCAGUAGGUGGCAGAGAUGAGAGAGGUUACUUCUACACUCAGUGUAGUGUUUUGGUCUAUGAAUAUCUAAAUGAUUAAUAGCCUAACAUU
ensembl:snoRNA LOC120093980 small nucleolar RNA SNORA17